AUUGAACGCUGGCGGCAUGCCUUACACAUGCAAGUCGAACGGCAGCACGGGAGCAAUCCUGGUGGCGAGUGGCGAACGGGUGAGUAAUGUAUCGGAACGUACCAUUGAGUGGGGGAUAACGUAGCGAAAGUUACGCUAAUACCGCAUAUACCCUGAGGGGGAAAGCAGGGGAUCGCAAGACCUUGUGCUCUUUGAGCGGCCGAUAUCAGAUUAGCUAGUUGGUGAGGUAAAGGCUCACCAAGGCGACGAUCUGUAGCGGGUCUGAGAGGAUGGUCCGCCACACUGGAACUGAGGCACGGUCCAGACGCCUACGGGAGGCAGCAGUGGGGAAUUUUGGACAAUGGGGGCAACCCUGAUCCAGCCAUGCCGCGUGAGUGAAGAAGGCCUUCGGGUUGUAAAGCUCUUUCGGCCGGGAGGAAAUCGCAUCAGCUAAUACCUGGUGUGGAUGACAGUACCGGAAUAAGAAGCACCGGCUAACUACGUGCCAGCAGCCGCCGUAA
rnacentral:rRNA from 1 species